rnacentral:rRNA from 1 species
GCGGCUAGACGGAAAGACCCCGUGAACCUUUACUAUAGCUUGACACUGAACAUUGAAUUUUGAUGUGUAGGAUAGGUGGGAGCCUUUGAAGCAGUGACGCCAGUCAUUGUGGAGGCGACCUUGAAAUACCACCCUUUAACGUUUGAUGUUCUAACGAAGAUGACGAAACGUGGUCUCGGACAGUGUCUGGUGGGUAGUUUGACUGGGGCGGUCUCCUCCCAAAGCGUAACGGAGGAGCACGAAGGUUUGCUAAUCACGGUCGGACAUCGUGAGGUUAGUGCAAUGGUAUAAGCAAGCUUAACUGCGAGACAGACAAGUCGAGCAGGUACGAAAGUAGGUCAUAGUGAUCCGGUGGUUCUGAAUGGAAGGGCCAUCGCUCAACGGAUAAAAGGUACUCCGGGGAUAACAGGCUGAUACCGCCCAAGAGUUCAUAUCGACGGCGGUGUUUGGCACCUCGAUGUCGGCUCAUCACAUCCUGGGGCUGAAGUAGGUCCCAAGGGUAUGGCUGUUCGCCAUUUAAAGUGGUACGCGAGCUGGGUUUAGAACGUCGUGAGACAGUUCGGUCCCUAUCUGCCGUGGGCGUAGGAGAAUUGGUUGGGGCUGCUCCUAGUACGAGAGGACCGGAGUGGACGCACCACUGGUGUUCCGGUUGUGUCGCCAGACGCAUUGCCGGGUAGCUAAGUGCGGAAGAGAUAAGUGCUGAAAGCAUCUAAGCACGAAACUUGCCAAGAGAUGAGUUCUCCCAAUC